GCCCAGACUCCUACGGGAGGCAGCAGUGAGGAAUAUUGGUCAAGGGCCGGAAGGCUGAACCAGCCAAGUCGCGUGAGGGACGACUGCCCUAUGGGUUGUAAACCUCUUUUAUAAGGGAAGAAUAAAUGCUACGUGUAGCAUGAUGCCUGUACCUUAUGAAUAAGCUCCGGCUAACUACGUGCCAGCAGCCGCGGUAAUACGUAGGGAGCAAGCGUUAUCCGGAUUUAUUGGGUGUAAAGGGUGCGUAGACGGGGAAACAAGUUAGUUGUGAAAUCCCUGGGCUUAACUGAGGAACUGCAACUAAAACUUUUUUUCUUGAGUGUUGGAGAGGAAAGUGGAAUUCCUAGUGUAGCGGUGAAAUGCGUAGAUAUUAGGAGGAACACCAGUGGCGAAGGCGACUUUCUGGACAAUAACUGACGUUGAGGCACGAAAGUGUGGGGAGCAAACAUGAUUAGAUGCCCCAGUA
rnacentral:rRNA from 1 species